rnacentral:miRNA from 1 species
UUCAAAACUGAACCGAAAAUGCAAGACUGGUUUACUAGUGUUUUCCUUCAAUUUCUUUCUGUAAUUUUACUAUAAUGGAACUCAUGUUAUCUAGACUGUGCUAGAUCAAUACAUAUAAACACUGACAGAAAACAAUUAAAGCAAGUCUUGCAUUUUCGGUUCAGUUUUGAA